CCUACGGGAGGCUGCAGUGGGGAAUAUUGCGCAAUGGGCGAAAGCCUGACGCAGCGACGCCGCGUGAGGGAUGAAGGUCUUCGGAUCGUAAACCUCUGUCAGCAGGGAAGAACGGUCACUGUGCUAAUCAGCAGUGACUUGACGGUACCUGCAAAGGAAGCACCGGCUAACUCCGUGCCAGCAGCCGCGGUAAUACGGAGGGUGCGAGCGUUACUCGGAAUUACUGGGCGUAAAGCGCUCGUAGGCGGUAGGUCAAGGCAAGGGGGAAAUCCCCGCGCCGAACGUGGGACAUGCCGUUGAAACUGGCAAACUUGAGUGUGUGAGAGGAUAGUGGAAGUCCAGGUGUAGGAGUGAAAUCCGUAGAUAUCUGGAGGAACAUCAGUGGCGAAGGCGACUAUCUGGCACAUAACUGACGCUGAGGAGUGAAAGCGUGGGUAGCAAACAGGAUUAGAUACCCGAGUAGUC
rnacentral:rRNA from 1 species